rnacentral:misc_RNA from 1 species
GUAACAAGGUUUCCGUAGGUGAAUCUGCGGAAGGAUCAUUACCGAGUGUAGGGUUCCUAGCGAGCCCAACCUCCCACCCGUGUUUACUGUAACCUUAGUUGCUUCGGCGGGCCCGCCUUUAAGGCCGCCGGGGGGCAUCAGCCCCCGGGCCCGCGCCCGCCGGAGACACCACGAACUCUGUCUGAUCUAGUGAAGUCUGAGUUGAUUGUAUCGCAAUCAGUUAAAACUUUCAACAAUGGAUCUCUUGGUUCCGGCAUCGAUGAAGAACGCAGCGAAAUGCGAUAACUAGUGUGAAUUGCAGAAUUCCGUGAAUCAUCGAGUCUUUGAACGCACAUUGCGCCCCCUGGUAUUCCGGGGGGCAUGCCUGUCCGAGCGUCAUUGCUGCCCAUCAAGCACGGCUUGUGUGUUGGGUCGUCGUCCCCUCUUCGGGGGGGACGGGCCCCAAAGGCAGCGGCGGCACCGCGUCCGAUCCUCGAGCGUAUGGGGCUUUGUCACCCGCUCUGUAGGCCCGGCCGGCGCUUGCCGAACGCAAAACAACCAUUCUUUCCAGGUUGACCUCGGAUCAGGUAGGGAUACCCGCUGAACCUAAGCA